ACUCCCUCAUUUCCACCGGCACUUCCACACCACCACCAUCACCAUUUCCACCAUCAUUUUUCCGGCAAGAUCAUCGGAAAAUUCUUGGGAACCCAUAAACACCUUCACAUCCUUUUUUUGAGGUUCUAGCUAAUCUCCUUGGAGCUUGGAGAAUUAGGAUUUUGCGGUUGUGAGGGUAGGCAACAAUCUUUUGAGACAGCUUUCUGGUGGCUAAUAGUAGUUAGACUAACUACUGAUGGAGGCUAAACUUUUGUAAUGGAGAUAUUAGAUGUUGUACAUCUUAGAAUAGGCUUGACUCAUUCUUUUUUAUAUUAUAGUGGUUGUGACUUUAUUUCCACUGAUGGGACAAGCUAUUGAUAUGAAAUUAUUUAUUCAGACCUCUAUUAUUUUGUGGCCAAUGGUCAUUGUAAUUAAUGCUUAGAGCUCUGACUUACUUUGAGAGUAUAUUCAAUGGAAUUAUUAUGAUAA